UUUCCUUGAUGAAUCAAACUAGCUCACUAUGACUUACACAAUGAAAU
ensembl:snoRNA SNORD29 Small nucleolar RNA SNORD29